GGAAGGAUCAUUAGAACAAAGAUAAACUAUGCGUCUGUCUGCUCGCGUAGCGAGUAGGCAGAUGCAUAUACUGCAGUGUGUGAUAUGCGAUAGCAUAUCGCAUGCUACAGACGACACGAGGACGCAUUUUGCCGAGUGUUUAUCUGAUGCAGCUCUGCUGCGUCAGUAUGAAUGCUAUAAUAAUAUUUAUAUUAUAGCAUUCAUACAGCAGCAUCUUACUGGAUGCUAGUCCCAGCAAUACCGCUUUGCGCUAUUGCUGGGCAAACUAGCACUCUCAUGCAGUACAUCUUCCAGCUAACGCUGAAAGAAGUACUGCAUGAGAGUGCACACACAAUAAUGUUGACAACAACCACAAAAUAUCAACCUACAACAAUGGAUCUCUUGGCUCUUGCAGCGAUGAAGAACGCGGCGAACUGCGAAAAGUAAUGUGACCUGCACCCUUUGAGAAACAUCCAAUUUUUGAACGCAACUUGCACCAGCCUGCUGGUAUACUUGUUUGAGUAUCUAUUGUUUUGUUACUUGAGCAUUCUGCACACAGAUGCUUUAAAGAGUGCUACAACAGUGCGGGAUAAUUCUUUAGCACGGUAUUAGUGAUAAGUUUAGUAACUCUUUAUUGUGAAAACAAUAAUGUGAUACUACUACAUCAUACAGAGAGACUACGUCCCUCUGUAGUAAUUGAUCUCAAAUCAAGCAAGGAUACCUGCUGAAUUUAAGCAUAUUAAUAAGCAGAGGAAAAGAAACUAACCAGGAUUCCCAUAGUAGCGGCGAGCGAAGUGGGAAGAGCUCAAAUUUAAAAUCUGGCAUUGCCCGAAUUGUAUUUGCAAGACUCUUUAAUCGCAAUAUGGGCGGCAGCGAGUCCGUUGGAAAGCGGCAACACAGAGGGUGAUAUUCCCGCGGGUGUCGGCUGUAUUGCGAUAGGGAGGUCUACGAGUCGGAUUGCUUGGGAAUGCAGUCCCAAGUGGGUGGUACACGCCAUCUAAAGCUAAAUAACGGCAAGAGACCGAUAGCGAACAAGUACCGUGAGGGAAAGAUGAAAAGAACUUUGAAAAGAGAGUUAAACAGUACGUGAAAUUGUUUUAGUGGAACCGAGUGGUGCGCUGUGUGGAUUGUGUGUUUGUUUGUAGAGAGCGUAAGUGGAAGGUGGCAGCCUAGCUGCUUUAUAGCCAUUUGUUGUGAUACGCGCAAAUACACUAUUCUAUAAACGCACCACACGACCCGUCUUGAAACACGGACCAAGGAGUCUAACAACCGUGCGAGUAUUCGAGUGGCAAACUCUGGUGCGCAAGGAAAGUGACGCGUAUGAAUCUCAGAUGCAAUACGGGGCGGAUGCAGGGAACUGUGUUUGCGCAGGAGCACGCGUGUUGGGACCCGAAAGAUGGUGAACUAUGCCUGAAUAGGGCGAGGCCAGAGGAAACUCUGGUGGAGGCUCGUAGACAUUCUGACGUGCAAAUCGAUGUUCGAAUUUGGGUAUAGGGGCGAAAGACUAAUCGAACCAUCUAGUAGCUGGUUCCCUC
rnacentral:misc_RNA from 1 species